GCAGCCUGAUGCAGCGACGCCGCGUGAGGGAUGACGGCCUAUCGGGUUGUAAACCUCUUUCAGUAGGGAAGAAGCGUAAGUGACGGUACCUGCAGAAAAAGCGCCGGCUAACUACGUGCCAGCAGCCGCGGUAAUACGUAGGGCGCAAGCGUUAUCCGGAAUUAUUGGGCGUAAAGAGCUCGUAGGCGGUUUGUCGCGUCUGCCGUGAAAGUCCGGGGCUCAACUCCGGAUCUGCGGUGGGUACGGGCAGACUAGAGUGAUGUAGGGGAGACUGGAAUUCCUGGUGUAGCGGUGAAAUGCGCAGAUAUCAGGAGGAACACCGAUGGCGAAGGCGGGUCUCUGGGCAUUAACUGACGCUGAGGAGCGAAAGCAUGGGGAGCGAACAGGAUUAGAUACCCUGGUAGUCCAUGCCGUAAACGUUGGGCACUAGGUGUGGGGGACAUUCCACGUUUUCCGCGCCGUAGCUAACGCAUUAAGUGCCCCGCCUGGGGAGUACGGCCGCAAGGCUAAAACUCAAAGGAAUUGACGGGGGCCCGCACAAGCGGCGGAGCAUGCGGAUUAAUUCGAUGCAACGCGAAGAACCUUACCAAGGCUUGACAUGAACCGGAGAGAUCUGGAAACAGGUCCCCCACUUGU
rnacentral:rRNA from 1 species